rnacentral:rRNA from 1 species
AUGGAUCACACGCGAGAGAGAGAGAGAGGAGGCCGAAGGCUGUUGCCGCAGCAUGAAGUAGGAGGCCGGAGACCGCCGCCGCCGCCGCCCCAGCCCGCUCGCUGCUGCAGCAGCAGUUCCGCAGCCGGCGAGCGGCGGGCGCGCGUGGCGGGCGUCGGCGUCGGCGGCGGGCCCUCCUCGCCGCCUGACGGGGUGAGGCUGAACGAGAUCGUCGGCGGCGGCAUCUCCGGGGUCCUCUACAAGUGGGUCAACUACGGCCGCGGGUGGCGGCCGCGCUGGUUCGCGCUCAGCGACGGCGUGCUCUCCUACUACAAGAUCCACGGGCCCGACCGCAUCGACCUCUCGCGCGACACCAACCGCGGCGCCAAGGUCAUCGGCGAGGACUCGCUCCGCCGCCUCGCGCGCCCCUCCGCCACCCCCUCCUCCUCCUCCUCCGCCUCCGCCCCCCACUCCAACGGCCACGGCCACCACCACACGCCCCGCAAGCCAGCGGCGGUGCUGCAAUGGAGCUCUUGCCGGCGGAUCCAGGUGCUGCGUUGCAGCACUCGCCGACGGCUGUUGAAGCUGCAGUGCAGCGCUCGGUGCUCCAAUGGAGCUCGCCGGCGCUCUCGAAGCUGCAGUGCCGCGCUCGGUGCUCCAUUGGAGCUCUCUCCGGCGGCUCCCGGUGCUAUGUUGCAGGGCUCUCUGGCGGGCUCGAAGCUGUAG